rnacentral:rRNA from 1 species
UCUCAGUUCGGAUUGGAGUCUGNAACCCGACUCCAUGAAGCUGGAUUCGCUAGUAAUCGCGCAUCAGCCACGGCGCGGUGAAUACGUUCCCGGGCCUUGUACACACCGCCCGUCAAGCCAUGGAAGCCGGGGGUGCCUGAAGUGCGCUGCCGCGAGGAGCGCCCUAGGGUAAAACCGGUGACUGGGGCUAAGUCGUAACAAGGUAGC